CUAAGGGAACAAAAUUGCCCAUUUGCUCUUUUAAUUAAAAGAGUCAUUUGUACUUUGUAGCAGCCAUUCUAUCCGCUGCAUAGACAUCGCCUGAUCAAGUGGCUCUCACAUUCGAGUGAAUAAAAGGCUAAAGGCCAUAGAAUUCUUGAACUUAUAUCAUUAAAAUUUUAAUUGUUUAUAGGUAAUGGGUUGCUUUUAGCAACUGUUUGCCUUGCAGGUUUAGGUGUAGGGUUUCCAAAUUAGGGCUUCUCCCACGCGGCACUCUAUUUUAAGAGCACCAGCCCUUUGAAAGAUGAGUAACCAUGUCCUCGAUGGCAAAUCUCAAAUCUCGCUCUCCGAUGUGAACGGCCACGAAAGCUUGUUCUUGUCCUUUGGCGGCAGGGAUUACUCCACGCUCUUUUUGCAUAAGCAACAACUCACAAAUCUUCUCUGGCAGCUUCCUGCGGGGAUUACAUGCUUUUCUUGACAGUAUCUCCUUUAUCUUCAAUUUUAUUUUCAAACAAACACAUGACAGAUGACUUCCACCAAAAAAAAUGAUUUGUUGGCAUUUUGAUUGAAGUGGCUAGUGGAGGAUGGUAAUGGACCAUUAUUUUAGGAAACAGCUCAUUUAAAAAGAUACUAUGCUCAUUUAAAAGGGAUCAUGCUGUAGUUGCCGAAGGGAAUCAUCGAGUCAUAACUUAGAAGAUUUUCUGUGUUGAAGGGGGGUAGUGGUGUGUGUUAGCAGCAUUUGUGUUUUCCAGUGAUCUUUGUUGCUGUAGAUGGUGUUGUUUUCUUAAGAUUAGUUUGGUGGGUUUUUGUUGACUUUUGUGUGUCUCUUAUUUUCAUGUAAUGGUGACUUCUGCUAAUAAACAUUUUGCUGGCUUUGAAUAAGAUCUUGAAUUGCUCUCUGCAAUCUAAUUUUAUUUUCA